CCGGGGUCAACUCGGAGGAAGGUGGGGAUGACGUCAAAUCAUCAUGCCCCUUAUGUCUUGGGCUUCACGCAUGCUACAAUGGCCGGUACAAAGGGCUGCAAUACCGCGAGGUGGAGCGAAUCCCAAAAAGCCGGUCCCAGUUCGGAUUGAGGUCUGCAACUCGACCUCAUGAAGUCGGAGUCGCUAGUAAUCGCAGAUCAGCAACGCUGCGGUGAAUACGUUCCCGGGUCUUGUACACACCGC
rnacentral:rRNA from 1 species